UAACUUACAUGUAAUCGAAUUUGCAAUGAUUGUUUUUUUUUUUUUUUUUUACACUCAAUCUUUACAGCAGUACUAAAACCCGUUUUAUUGCUUUAAUGAUAACUAUCUUAUUUUAUUCGUAACUCGAAAGGUGUUACCGCACAUCAUCCCCAAGCCUGAAUGAGUCCGGAUGACUUUUUUAAUCUGGCCUAUGAGCUUGGGAUUUUUUUGAUGCCGAAAUUGGUGAUGGCAGACUUCCCACCACAAUAUUUUCUUCAUAGAUAAAAUCAAAAUCACAAAUAUUUUUGACAAUUUUUGUACACAGAAUAUAUAGUCCAACGAUCUUUAAUUAUUUAGCUUUAUGUAAUGUUCACCUCAUUUAAAAGUUUGUCUAAAACACCAUUGCACUGUUAAAUUUGAUCCUUGGUCUACCUGUUCUCAAAGGGUUUGUCUGUCAGAUGUAUUUCAGCAUCCAUCUUCAGUGAGCCUAUGCAAUAGGUAAUUUAUUAAUAAUGAAUUUUAUAAACAUAGAAAGGUGGCAAAGUUUCAAAACGUCUGACAGACCAAACCAACGAGAAAAGGCAGACCAAGAUGAUUAGUAGGGUUCAAACCGUAGACCUGGCAAAAAAUGAAGACCUCAAUUUAACAUUCCACAUGUUAUUCUCUAUUUUUUCUAUCUCAUCGCACUAUCUUCAUAACGAAGCAUGUUCUUCCUUUUAUUUGCUCAUAAAAUUGUGUUGUAGAUUCGAUUAUUCAAUAUAGAUUUAUGGAUAGCUUCAUUAAGUUUUUAAACUAAACUAUCCUUGUAGGAAUGUUGAAUCAUGCCAAUAUUUCACUACUGAACAAGAUGAUUUAUAACUAUAGAAAGCAGGAGAAUCAUGUCAAAGAAAUGCUACAAGAAAAUAUUCAGUGGCAGAACCGUUUUCAAGACCGUCUAAGGAAGGAAGAGCUUUCGUCAAAGCAGAAAGUAGAAAUUCAUGAUACAUUGUUUAACCUGCAGAAGUUGUACAAACUGCUUCAGCAAGAGCAGGAAAUAUUUUACCGUCAGUCGAUGGAAUGCAGUUUUCAAAGUUACGAAAAAAAUAUUUCAUAUGACAGCCUCGAAAAACAGCAGCAUUACAACAAGCAAGUUCAAAACGUUAUUCAGCAACAGCUGCAUAUCUUGAGUGAACUGCUUAGCGCCACUUUUUCUCCAAGUAAGAGAAGAAAGUCAGCAUCGUGUGUAACAAGUGAAGUUGAUAUUUCACUGGAAAUACUCAACGACAGCGUUCUCCGAAACAUAGAACAACAACAGCAACAAAUGUUACUAUUAGAAGAAAACCAACCUGACACAAAAGAGUGGAAAAUGGCUGAAGCAAAUCUGAAAAAGCUUAAAACCCAGCAGAAAAUCCAUGUACAUCUCGAACAAAACCUGCAAAGGCAACAGUUUAUAAAAAGGCGUCUUAGGGAUCAAGUUUUGUCCCAAGAGGAAUACCAAAAAUAUGCAAAUGAUAUGCACACCCUUCGUACACAGAGGCAGCAAUUGUUUCAAUUUCACGAAUCGCUCCAAGAUGAAUUUAAUCAAUUCAAAACUGGAAGUUAUAUCAAAACAAAAAAUAUGGCUAGUGACCUCGUAUGCACUCUAGCACUGCAACAGACUCAAAACCUUUUUAAUUACAUUAGCCAACAGCAGAAUGUAAAUAACGUUCUUGAGCAAAAACAGACCCUGUAAAACAAUACUCUUAACUAAUAAUAAAUGUACUUUCUUGUUUUCUAUUUUAAACUUCAAUCAAGUCAGUGGUUUAAAUUACAAAUAGCACUGUACAGUGGUGCUAUGACAAUAUUCAUAUUAAGUACAAACAAUUGAAUUUAUUCUUUAAAGGCAAUGUUACAAAUCAUGCCGAAGCUUACAGAAAAAGUUUAAAAUGCUUAAAAAUAUUCUAGAAAAGAUUCAUUAUUAUUAAAUUAUUAGCUAUGGAUUAAUUUAUGGUGAUUAGACUAUCCUUGUUCAGCUUAUUGUGUUGGUUUUGUUUUCCAGACCUAUUUUCAUAUUUCAACUUUUCAGUUAUUUUUCUGUAGCCUUGAACGAUGAGAUGAUCGAGGAUGAUUAAGAAACUGUUUUACCUCAUAGACCUCAUCAAAUAUCACAAAUCAUCAUUUUAAUUAAUAGCACCAUUAGUGCAGGACUAUAGUAUAUUAGUCAAGGAAGAUAUGUAUGUAUUUGGCAAUGCAUUGUAUUAAUGAAUUAAUUUAAAUAGAAAGGGAAAAAAAGCCCAGAGGGGAUGGUUGGAAUGAAACUAAAGACCUACGAUGGUCUACGAGCCAAGAGUCUAUCACACUAACCACUCAGCUACCGCGCACCCACAUGAAAUAACUUCUGGUGGUGCAGUUACUAUUACUACUACUACUAACUUGCAAUUUUUAGGCUAUUACAAAAGAAUUUUGAAGAUUUGGACAGGAAUCAACUAUAAAAGAUGAAUAUUCAUGCUGAUUAGACUA
rnacentral:misc_RNA from 1 species